rnacentral:lncRNA from 1 species
AAUGUGAAGCUCUUGGAACAGUUUGUCUGUGCACACACGGGUAUCAUCUUUCACGCCCCAUACACAGGGGUCUGUAUGAAGCAGCACAAGAAGCUGACCCAGGCCAUCCAGAAAGCCAGGGAGUGUGGUCUUCUCAGUUACUACGUCCCCCAGGUUGAGCCCCGGGAUGCUGACUUUCGUACUGUGCAUGGAGCUGUCAGUGUGACUCCACCAGCCCCCACACUGUUGUCAGGUGAACCUUGGUACCCAUGGUACAGCUGGCAACAGCCACCAGAGAGAGAGCUGUCUCGCCUUCGCCGACUCUAUCAAGGAAAUCUCCUAGAAGAAAGUGGCCCGCCACCUGAGUCGAUGCCAGAGAUGCCCACUACACCACCAGCAGAAUCCUCCAUUGAGCAGCCAGGCUCCCAGAGUGCUUAG